rnacentral:rRNA from 1 species
GUAAGACUGGGAUAACUCCGGGAAACCGGGGCUAAUACCGGAUGCUUGAUUGAACCGCAUGGUUCAAUUAUAAAAGGUGGCUUUUAGCUACCACUUACAGAUGGACCCGCGGCGCAUUAGCUAGUUGGUGAGGUAACGGCUCACCAAGGCAACGAUGCGUAGCCGACCUGAGAGGGUGAUCGGCCACACUGGGACUGAGACACGGCCCAGACUCCUACGGGAGGCAGCAGUAGGGAAUCUUCCGCAAUGGACGAAAGUCUGACGGAGCAACGCCGCGUGAGUGAUGAAGGUUUUCGGAUCGUAAAACUCUGUUGUUAGGGAAGAACAAGUACCGUUCGAAUAGGGCGGUACCUUGACGGUACCUAACCAGAAAGCCACGGCUAACUACGUGCCAGCAGCCGCGGUAAUACGUAGGUGGCAAGCGUUGUCCGGAAUUAUUGGGCGUAAAGCGCGCGCAGGCGGUUUCUUAAGUCUGAUGUGAAAGCCCCCGGCUCAACCGGGGAGGGUCAUUGGAAACUGGGGAACUUGAGUGCAGAAGAGGAGAGUGGAAUUCCACGUGUAGCGGUGAAAUGCGUAGAGAUGUGGAGGAACACCAGUGGCGAAGGCGACUCUCUGGUCUGUAACUGACGCUGAGGCGCGAAAGCGUGGGGAGCGAACAGGAUUAGAUACCCUGGUAGUCCACGCCGUAAACGAUGAGUGC